ACGGCCGCGGACUGCCGC
rnacentral:misc_RNA from 1 species